rnacentral:rRNA from 1 species
ACGGGUGAGUAACGCGUAGGAAUCUGCCCUAAAGAGGGGGACAACCCGAGGAAACUCGGGCUAAUACCGCAUAAUCUCGAAAGAGAAAAGCUGGGGCAACCUGGCACUUUAGGAGGAGCCUGCGUCCGAUUAGCUAGUUGGUAAGGUAAAGGCUUACCAAGGCGAUGAUCGGUAGCUGGUCUGAGAGGAUGAUCAGCCACACUGGGACUGAGACACGGCCCAGACUCCUACGGGAGGCAGCAGUGGGGAAUAUUGGACAAUGGGGGCAACCCUGAUCCAGCAAUGCCGCGUGUGUGAAGAAGGCCUUCGGGUUGUAAAGCACUUUAGUUGGGGAAGAAGGUAAGUAGUUUAAGAGAUGAUUUACUUGACGGUACCCAAAGAAUAAGCACCGGCUAACUCUGUGCCAGCAGCCGCGGUAAUACAGAGGGUGCAAGCGUUAAUCGGAUUUACUGGGCGUAAAGGGCGCGUAGGCGGUUAUUUAAGUUUGAUGUGAAAUCCCUGGGCUUAACCUAGGAACUGCAUUGAAUACUGGGUAACUAGAGUAUUGUAGAGGGUAGUGGAAUUUCCGGUGUAGCGGU